GACGAACGCUGGCGGCGUGCUUAACACAUGCAAGUCGAACGAUGAACCCGGAGCUUGCUCCGGUGGAUUAGUGGCGAACGGGUGAGUAACACGUGAGUAACCUGCCCUUGACUCUGGGAUAACUGCGGGAAACUGUAGCUAAUACCGGAUACGACCCUCGGCGGCAUCGCCAGGGGGUGGAAAGAAUUUCGGUCAAGGAUGGACUCGCGGCCUAUCAGCUCGUUGGUGAGGUAACGGCUCACCAAGGCGACGACGGGUAGCCGGCCUGAGAGGGUGGCCGGCCACCGCGGGACAGAGACGCGGCCCAGACUCCUACCGGAGGCCGGAGUGGGGAAUAUUGCACAAUGGGCGCAAGCCUGAUGCAGCAACGCCGCGUGAGGGAUGACGGCCUUCGGGUUGUAAACCUCUUUUAGUAGGGAAGAAGCGAAAGUGACGGUACCUGCAGAAAAAGCACCGGCUAACUACGUGCCAGCCGCCGCGGUAA
rnacentral:rRNA from 1 species